AGUGAACGCUGGCGGUAGGCCUAACACAUGCAAGUCGAACGGCAGCACAGAGGAGCUUGCCCCUUGGGUGGCGAGUGGCGGGCGGGUGAGGAAUACAUCGGAAUCUACUCUGUCGUGGGGGAUAACGUAGGGAAACUUACGUUAAUACCGCAUACGACCUACGGGUGAAAGCAGGGGAACUUCGGGCCUUGCGCGAUUGAAUGAGCCGAGGUCGGAUUAGCUAGUUGGCGGGGUAAAGGCCCACCAAGGCGACGAUCCGUAGCUGGUCUGAGGGGAUGAUCAGCCACACUGGAACUGAGACACGGUCCAGACUCCUACGGGAGGCAGCAGUGGGGAAUAUUGGACAAUGGGCGCAAGCCUGAUCCAGCCAUACCGCGUGGGUGAAGAAGGCCUUCGGGUUGUAAAGCCCUUUUGUUGGGAAAGAAAUCCAGCUGGCUAAUACCCGGUUGGGAUGACGGUACCCAAAGAAUAAGCACCGGCUAACUUCGUGCCAGCCGCCGCCGUAA
rnacentral:rRNA from 1 species